GUGGGGAAUUUUGGACAAUGGGCGCAAGCCUGAUCCAGCAAUGCCGCGUGCAGGAAGAAGGCCUUCGGGUUGUAAACUGCUUUUGUACGGAACGAAACGGUCCUGGCUAAUACCCGGGGCUAAUGACGGUACCGUAAGAAUAAGCACCGGCUAACUACGUGCCAGCAGCCGCGGUAAUACGUAGGGUGCGAGCGUUAAUCGGAAUUACUGGGCGUAAAGCGUGCGCAGGCGGUGCUGUAAGACAGGCGUGAAAUCCCGGGGCUCAACCUGGGAAUUGCGCUUGUGACUGCAGUGCUGGAGUGCGGCAGAGGGGGAUGGAAUUCCGCGUGUAGCAGUGAAAUGCGUAGAUAUGCGGAGGAACACCGAUGGCGAAGGCAAUCCCCUGGGCCUGCACUGACGCUCAUGCACGAAAGCGUGGGGAGCAAACAGGAUUAGAAACGCUGGUAGUCC
rnacentral:rRNA from 1 species